rnacentral:rRNA from 1 species
CGCUGGCGGCAGGCCUAACACAUGCAAGUCGAGCGGAUGAGUGGAGCUUGCUCCAUGAUUCAGCGGCGGACGGGUGAGUAAUGCCUAGGAAUCUGCCUGGUAGUGGGGGACAACGUUUCGAAAGGAACGCUAAUACCGCAUACGUCCUACGGGAGAAAGCAGGGGACCUUCGGGCCUUGCGCUAUCAGAUGAGCCUAGGUCGGAUUAGCUAGUAGGUGAGGUAAUGGCUCACCUAGGCGACGAUCCGUAACUGGUCUGAGAGGAUGAUCAGUCACACUGGAACUGAGACACGGUCCAGACUCCUACGGGAGGCAGCAGUGGGGAAUAUUGGACAAUGGGCGAAAGCCUGAUCCAGCCAUGCCGCGUGUGUGAAGAAGGUCUUCGGAUUGUAAAGCACUUUAAGUUGGGAGGAAGGGCAGUAAGUUAAUACCUUGCUGUUUUGACGUUACCAACAGAAUAAGCACCGGCUAACUUCGUG